GACGAACGCUGGCGGCGUGCUUAACACAUGCAAGUCGAACGGAAAGGCCCUGCUUGCCGGGUCCUCGAGUGGCGAACGGGUGAGUAACACGUGGGUGAUCUGCCCUGCACUUCGGGAUAAGCCUGGGAAACUGGGUCUAAUACCGGAUAGGAGCCAUUUUUAUUGUUAUGGUUGGAAAGUUUUUUCGGUUUAGGAUGAGCUCGCGGGCUAUCAGCUUGUUGGUGGGGUAAUGGCCUACCAAGGCGGCGACGGGUAGCCGGCCUGGGAGGGUGGACUGCGACAUUGGGACUGAGGGACGGCCCAGACGGCUACGGGAGGCAGCAGGGGGGAAGAUUGCACAAUGAGCGCAAGCCUGAUGAAGCGGCGCCGCGGGGGGGAUGACGUGCUGCGGGUGGAAAACGACUUUCGCUAGGGACGAAGCAUUUUGUGACGGUACCUAGAGAAGAAGCACCGGCUAACUACGUG
rnacentral:rRNA from 1 species